rnacentral:tRNA from 1 species
CGAGAUGUAGCACAGUUGGUAGCGCGCCACGUUCGGGACGUGGAGGCCGCAGGUUCAAGUCCUGUCAUCUCGA